rnacentral:misc_RNA from 1 species
UUGAAAGAGUUCAAGCCAAGUGCCAUGCAAUCUCAAAGGCGUCCUAACAAUGGGCCCGCGACAAUUGGUAUCAGAGCAACCACUGAUUCAUGGAUGGUGGAAAGCAUGAAGGAAUUUAUUGUACAUAUAUUAACACCCUAGAGAAAAGGGGUCAAAGUGAUUUUGCUUAAAGUAAUGUAUGUCCCUCUGAUCAUCACACCAAGCGCUCUAAAAUGAGUAGGCAGGGUGAUUCAGUUACACAUUGGUUGAGAAAGUGGGGGUGCUGCACACCCCUUUAGUUGCAUCUUUUGAAAAGAUAGUAAUGACCCUAUAGGAGGAGGUAUUGCAUACUCUAUCAGCUGCAUCUUUUGGAGAGAGAGUAAUGAUCUCAUGACAAUUUUGAGGGGCUGGCAAUAGAACUUAAGUCAAUCUGCUUCACCCUUUGUAAGAACACCCUUGAGACUGUG